ensembl:lncRNA
AUACACAACUCAACACACACAGGUACACACACACCUCAAUACACACAGGUAUACACAACUCAAUACACACAGGUAGACACACAGGUAUACACACUGGUACACACACACCUCAAUACACACAGGUAGACACACAGGUAUACACACCUCAAUACACACACAGGUCUACACACCUCAAUACACACAGGUCUACACACACCUCAAUACACACAGGUCUACACACCUCAAUACACACAGGUAUACACACCUCAAUACACACAGGUAUACACACCUCAAUACACACAGGUAUACACACACAGGUAUACACACCUCAAUACACACAGGUAUACACACACCAAUACACACAGGUAUACACACACAGGUAUACACACACAGGUAUACACACAGGUAUACACACCUCAAUACACACAGGUACAGACACCUGCACUCAAUUCAACUACCGGUAGUGAACACGUGAUCAGAAAUAGUGAAGUCAUGACAGUGUUUUCCUUGCUAUUGUAUCAUACCCCACCUCCCUGUGCAGAUAGGCAAAUGUCUUUAUUCUGUACAUAUCAUAGUCACAACUUCCUUCACAACACUGCCCUUAAAUGAUUGCAUUUCGAAAAGAGAUCUACAUGACCAGAGGUUGUUCUACAUGACCAGAGGUUGUUCUACAUGACCAGAGGUUGUUCUACAUGACCAGAGGUUGUUCUACAUGACCAGAGGUUGUUCUACAUGACCAGAGGUUGUUCUACAUGACCAGAGGUUGUUCUACAUGACCAGAGGUUGUUCUACAUGACCAGAGGUUGUUCUACAUGACCAGAGGUUGUUCUACAUGACCAGAGGUUGUUCUACAUGACCAGAGGUUGUUCUACAUGACCAGAGGUUGUUCUAUAUGACCAGAGGUUGUUCUAUUCUGUUCUAUAUAAAGGUGUGUGUUUGAGAUGGAACAAAUCAACCCUCUUGAACUGAAAUAGGAUGGGGCGGGUAAAAUACAACACACCGUACAGUACCUAGACUUACCAAACACACACUACACACAUACACCCCCCCCCCCGUGGGGUCCAAAUAUUAACCGUGAAACAAGGUCUCUGUGUGUGAUAAAUAAUAUGGGCAUGUGACCUGGUUCAUAUCUCCUCUGUCUAGAUCAGACCACCUCGUCUCUCGAUUGAGACGUCUCUCUCUCUCGGUGUGUGUGUCCGAGACGUCUCUCUCACUCUCUCGGUGUGUGUGUCCGAGACGUCUCUCCCUCUCUCGGUGUGUGUGUCCGAGACGUCUCUCCCUCUCUCGGUGUGUGUGUCCGAGACGUCUCUCCCUCUCUCGGUGUGUGUGUCCGAGACGUCUCUCCCUCUCUCUCGGUGUGUGUGUCCGAGACGUCACUCUCUCGGUGUGUGUGUCCGAGACGUCUCUCACUCUCUCGGUGUGUGUGUCCGAGACGUCUCUCCCUCUCUCGGUGUGUGUGUCCGAGACGUCUCUCCCUCUCUCGGUGUGUGUGUCCGAGACGUCUCUCCCUCUCUCGGUGUGUGUGUCCGAGACGUCUCUCCCUCUCUCGGUGUGUGUGUCCGAGACGUCUCUCCCUCUCUCGGUGUGUGUGUCCGAGACGUCACUCCUCUCUCUCGGUGUGUGUCCGAGACGUCACUCUCUCGGUGUGUGUGUCCGAGACGUCACUCUCUCGGUGUGUGUGUCCGAGACGUCACUCUCUCGGUGUGUGUGUCCGAGACGUCACUCUCUCGGUGUGUGUGUCCGAGACGUCACUCUCUCGGUGUGUGUGUCCGAGACGUCACUCUCUCUGUGUGUGUCC